GGAUGCGCUAAUGGACGACACGGAUGACAAGGAAAGUGACAUCGUACAUGUUCUGGGUGUCUUGAGGAGCUUGUCUUUGGAUGAUGCUGAGCAGGUCUUUCUUUCUGGUAACGAUUAUCAUUACAGUGAAGUAAAAGAAUUUAACAGACAGAUUGACAAACAACUGACGAAAGAAGAGAGACCAUUCUAUAGGUGGUCCCUUUAUUUAUCAGGGGUUGCCACAGCAGAAUGAACCGCCAACUUAUGCAGCAUAUGUUUUACACAGUGGAUACCCUUCCAGCCGCAACCCAGUACUGGGAAACACCCAUUUACAAUUAUAUACUUGAACAUGGGGAGAACAUGCAAACUCCACACAGAAAUGACCACUGGCCCAGCCGGGGCUUGAACCAGCAACCUUCUUGCUGUGAGGCGACGGUUUCAACCACUGUGCUGCCCCAUGUGCUCUAUGCGGAGGCCUCUAGAGAUCGUGACCUGUGAAGAGAUGAUGCCACCAUAGAGGACUUCUAGAUGUAUCCAUAAUCCUGGACCAGACCGUAUCAUGAUCAGAUGCAGUGGUGGUCAUGGAGAAGUGGAGAGCAUGAUACUGAUUAAUGAAAGACCCCAGCGACAGAUGAGUGCCCACAUUGAUCCUGUGGUCCAGCCUGAAAACCCGCUGGUGCCCUACUCACACCUGCAGCUUCUCCACGAUGGACGCCCA
rnacentral:lncRNA from 1 species